UUGCACUGACAAGUGUUCCCUGUGUCUAUUCCGUGGCUAAGGGUUUGUUUAACGGUGCUAGACCAAAUCCCUUCUUGGAGAAAGGCCAGGCUUUCUUGUAACCUGCCCCUUCAGAUAGUUGGGUACAAGC